AUGCGGGGCCUGGCCAUGGCAAUAGAAAAGGAGACGGAGGAGCGCUGGACUUCGUUUGAAUUGUACACCAACACGACGAGGUUCUCCAGAGAGAGGUUGCCGGGCAUCUCGCUGCUAUAUAUAUGCGCUACCUCAGGCGAUCUCCUCGACCAGCUCUUACCAUUCUGUCCCACCCCGGGCCGCCCGGCAAUCGGCGAUCCUCCAUUCUUCGAUCACUCUACUAUUCGAGGCUUGCCCAACAUGGCCUUUGCUGGCGUAUCUCUCAUUGUUGACGGCAAGCUGUGCGUCUCCACCAAGUCGGUCAUCAACUCCGGAGCAGAUACCGGGUACCACUUGCUGGUUGUCGAAGGUUACUUGCGCACCAGAGAGACUACUCCCAACGGCGAGUCCAUCGAGUCUCGUCCUUUCAUUGUUGGAGGCCGUCGUUGGAUCAUUGGCUACUCACCUAAUGGCGAUUCCUCGGAUAAUGAAGAAUUUAUAUCGCUUGAGCUUGCCCUUGAGGACGAUAUCGAGCAGGGCGUUGAGUUUCAGUAUGUCUUCAGUUUCAUUGACCAGCCCGAGUUGCGGGUGCCAAAGCACAUCCGCCAAAGCCAACCAGUUUACUUGGACGUGGAUGAAUUUUUGUAUACCCAGUCUGAAUUCAUGAAUAGGGAGGUUUUUGAAAGAUCAAGGCAUCUCAAGGACGACAGCUUCGUCAUCCGGUGUGACCUUGUUGUCCACAAGUCGGCCGCGGACCACAAGGAGCAGGGCACCACCACUCUUCCUUUCACCGAAUUGCCACAGUCUGACUUGCCAAGCCAUCUUGGCGAUCUCCUCCUGAGCAAGGAGGGUGCUGAUGUCACGUUUGAGGUUGACGGCAAGGCGUUCGCUGCGCACCGGUGGAUGCUUGCAGCCCGAUCCACCGUAUUCAAGGAACAGCUCUUUGACGCCAUGAAUGUGGGCGCUGCUACAUCAAGUGUUGUCAAGGUAGUCGACAUCAAAGCAAAUGUGUUCCAGUGCUUGCUUACCUUCAUCUACACUGAUGGAAUACCCAAAUUCGAGAUUGAGGACACAGAAGAGAAUGACACGGAAGAAGACUGGCUGCUGCAGCUCCUUGAAGCUGCAGACAGAUAUGGUCUCCAAAGGCUCAAGUCAAUCUGUGAAGAGAAGUUGACCGAAUUGAUUUGUAAGGACACGGUGGCAGACAUCAUUGUCGUGGCUGAGCGGAACCGGUGCCUCUGGUUGAAGCAUUCUUGCUUGGAGUUCGUCAAAACUAGCACAAAUUUGCACACUGUUUUCACGGCUGAUGGGCUGGAGCAAAUAAUCAGGACGUGCAGACCCUCCGUUCUCAAGGAGCUUCUCUCCAAGUUUGCUUCCUGA
rnacentral:rRNA from 1 species